rnacentral:rRNA from 1 species
AUUGAACGCUGGCGGCAGGCCUAACACAUGCAAGUCGAGCGGAUGACGGGAGCUUGCUCCUUGAUUCAGCGGCGGACGGGUGAGUAAUGCCUAGGAAUCUGCCUGGUAGUGGGGGACAACGUUUCGAAAGGAACGCUAAUACCGCAUACGUCCUACGGGAGAAAGCAGGGGACCUUCGGGCCUUGCGCUAUCAGAUGAGCCUAGGUCGCAUUAGCUAGUUGGUGGGGUAAUGGCUCACCAAGGCGACGAUCCGUAACUGGUCUGAGAGGAUGAUCAGGCGCACUGGAACUGAGACACGGUCCAGACUCCUACGGGAGGCAGCAGUGGGGAAUAUUGGACAAUGGGCGAAAGCCUGAUCCAGCCAUGCCGCGUGUGUGAAGAAGGUCUUCGGAUUGUAAAGCACUUUAAGUUGGGAGGAAGGGCAGUAAGUUAAUACCUUGCUGUUUUGACGUUACCGACAGAAUAAGCACCGGCUGACUUCGUGCCAGCAGCCGCCGUAAAAC